rnacentral:rRNA from 1 species
GACAGAGGGUGCAAACGUUGUUCGGAAUUACUGGGCGUAAAGGGCGCGUAGGCGGUCAGCACAAGUCAGUUGUGAAAUCUCCGGGCUUAACCCGGAAAGGUCAACUGAUACUGUGCGACUAGAGUGCGGAAGGGGCAACUGGAAUUCUCGGUGUAGCGGUGAAAUGCGUAGAUAUCGAGAGGAACACCUGCGGCGAAGGCGGGUUGCUGGGCCGACACUGACGCUGAUGCGCGAAAGCCAGGGGAGGCGAACGGG